rnacentral:rRNA from 1 species
UACGAAGGGGGCUAGCGUUGCUCGGAAUCACUGGGCGUAAAGGGCGCGUAGGCGGCCUGAUCAGUCGGGGGUGAAAGCCUGUGGCUUAACCACAGAAUGGCCUUCGAUACUGUUUGGCUUGAGACCGGAAGAGGUUAGUGGAACUGCGAGUGUAGAGGUGAAAUUCGUAGAUAUUCGCAAGAACACCAGUGGCGAAGGCGGCUGACUGGUCCGGUUCUGACGCUGAGGCGCGAAAGCUAGGGGAGCAAACGGG